GCAGUCGAGCGGACAGAAGGGAGCUUGCUCCCGGAUGUUAGCGGCGGACGGGUGAGUAACACGUGGGUAACCUGCCUGUAAGACUGGGAUAACUCCGGGAAACCGGAGCUAAUACCGGAUAGUUCCUUGAACCGCAUGGUUCAAGGAUGAAAGACGGUUUCGGCUGUCACUUACAGAUGGACCCGCGGCGCAUUAGCUAGUUGGUGAGGUAACGGCUCACCAAGGCGACGAUGCGUAGCCGACCUGAGAGGGUGAUCGGCCACACUGGGACUGAGACACGGCCCAGACUCCUACGGGAGGCAGCAGUAGGGAAUCUUCCGCAAUGGACGAAAGUCUGACGGAGCAACGCCGCGUGAGUGAUGAAGGUUUUCGGAUCGUAAAGCUCUGUUGUUAGGGAAGAACAAGUGCAAGAGUAACUGCUUGCACCUUGACGGUACCUAACCAGAAAGCCACGGCUAACUACGUGCCAGCAGCCGCGGUAAUACGUAGGUGGCAAGCGUUGUCCGGAAUUAUUGGGCGUAAAGGGCUCGCAGGCGGUUUCUUAAGUCUGAUGUGAAAGCCCCCGGCUCAACCGGGGAGGGUCAUUGGAAACUGGGAAACUUGAGUGCAGAAGAGGAGAGUGGAAUUCCACGUGUAGCGGUGAAAUGCGUAGAGAUGUGGAGGAACACCAGUGGCGAAGGCGACUCUCUGGUCUGUAACUGACGCUGAGGAGCGAAAGCGUGGGGAGCGAACAGGAUUAGAUACCCUGGUAGUCCACGCCGUAAACGAUGAGUGCUAAGUGUUAGGGGG
rnacentral:rRNA from 1 species